rnacentral:rRNA from 1 species
CGGCCUGCUAAUACCGCAUGUGUCCCCGGAAUCGCAUGGUUCCGGGAAGAAAGGUGGCCUCUCCUUGGAAGCUAUCGCUUAAGGAUGGUCCCGCGUCCCAUUAGCUUGUUGGUGGGGUAAUGGCCUACCAAGGCGACGAUGGGUAGCCGGCCUGAGAGGGUGUCCGGCCACACUGGGACUGAGAUACGGCCCAGACUCCUACGGGAGGCAGCAGUCGAGAAGCUUCGGCAAUGGGCGAAAGCCUGACCGAGCGACGCCGCGUGAGCGAUGAAGGUCCUAUGGAUUGUAAAGCUCUGUCAGAUUGGGAAGAAAACUUCGCGAUUAAUACCCGCGAAGCUUGACGGUACCAUCAGAGGAAGCACCGGCUAACUCCGUGCCAGCAGCCGCGGUAAUACGGAGGGUGCGAGCGUUGUUCGGAUUCACUGGGUAUAAAGGGUGCGUAGGCGGCCUCGUAAGUCAGGGGUGAAAUAUGACGGCUCAACCGUCAAACUGCCCCUGAAACUGCAAGGCUUGAGUCCGGGAGAGGAAGGUGGAAUUCCUGGUGUAGCGGUGAAAUGCGUAAAUAUCAGGAGGAACACCGGUGGCGAAGGCGGCCUUCUGGUCCGGUACUGACGCUGAGGCACGAAAGCUAGGGGAGCGAACAGGAUUAGAUACCCUGGUAGUCCUAGCCGUAAACGAUGGGCACUAGGUGUCGGAGGAGUCUACCCCUUCGGUGCCGUAGCUAAUGCAUUAAGUGCCCCACCUGGGGAGUACGAUCGCAAGGUUGAAACUCAAAGGAAUUGACGGGGGCCCGCACAAGCGGUGGAGCAUGUGGUUUAAUUCGAUGCAACGCGAAGAACCUUACCUGGGCUUGACAUGCAGGGGACAGGUGCAGAAAUGUACCCUUCUUCGGACCCCUGUGCAGGUGCUGCAUGGCUGUCGUCAGCUCGUGUCGUGAAAUGUUGGGUUAAGUCCCGCAACGAGCGCAACCCCUGUCUUCAGUUGCCAUCAGUUCGGCUGGGGACUCUGGAGAGACUGCCGGUGACAAACCGGAGGAAGGUGGGGACGACGUCAAGUCAUCGUGGCCCUUACGCCCAGGGCUACACACGUGCUACAAUGGUCGGUACAAUGGGCAGCAAUACCGUGAGGUGGAGCGAAUCCCAAAAAGCCGGCCUCAGUUCGGAUUGGAGUCUGCAACUCGACUCCAUGAAGUCGGAAUCGCUAGUA